rnacentral:rRNA from 1 species
UACAGAGGGGGCAAGCGUUGUUCGGAAUUACUGGGCGUAAAGGGCUCGUAGGUGGCCAACUAAGUCAGACGUGAAAUCCUUCGGCUUAACCGGGGAACUGCGUCUGAUACUGGAUGGCUUGAAUUCGGGAGAGGGAUGCAGAAUUCCAGGUGUAGCGGUGAAAUGCGUAGAUAUCUGGAGGAAUACCGGUGGCGAAGGCGGCAUCCUGGACCGACAUUGACGCUGAUGAGCGAAAGCUAGGGGAGCAAACGGG